rnacentral:rRNA from 1 species
AGUGAACGCUGGCGGAAUGCUUUACACAUGCAAGUCGAGCGGCAGCGCGGCCUUCGGGCUGGCGGCGAGCGGCGAACGGGCGAGUAAUGCAUCGGAACAUGCCCAGUCGUGGGGGAUAACACUUCGAAAGAAGUGCUAAUACCGCAUACGUCCUGAGGGGGAAAGCGGGGGAUCGCAAGACCUCGCGCGAUUGGAGUGGCCGAUGUCAGAUUAGCUAGUUGGUGGGGUAACGGCCUACCAAGGCGCCGAUCGGUAGCUGGUCUGAGAGGAUGAUCAGCCACACUAGGACUGAGACUCGGCCCAGACUCCUACGGGAUGCAGCAGUGGGGAAUUUUGGACAAUGGCGGCGACCCUGAUCCAGCCAUUCCGCGUGAGUUGAGACGGCCUUCGGGUUGUAAAGCUCUUUCGGCAGGAACGAAACGGUGGGCUCUAACAUAGUCCGCUAAUGACGGUACCUGAAGAAGAAGCACCGGCUAACUACGUG